rnacentral:misc_RNA from 1 species
UACGGAGGGUGCAAGCGUUAAUCGGAAUUACUGGGCGUAAAGCGCGCGUAGGUGGCUUGAUACGCCGGUUGUGAAAGCCCCGGGCUCAACCUGGGAACGGCAUCCGGAACUGUCAAGCUAUAGUACAGGAGAGCAAGGUAGAAUUCCCGGUGUAGCGGUGAAAUGCGUAGGGGUCGGGAGGAAUACCAGUGGCGAAGGCGGCCUUCUGGUCUGACACUGACGCUGAGGUGCGAAAGCGUGGGUAGCAAACUGG